CACAAUUUCAAAAAUGAAAGAUUAGUAGCCUCUAAAGAUUCUUAAAACAUUUCAAACAAUCUAUAAGAAAAAAACACAGAAUGCUAUUCAUUAGUGUUGAUCAGGCCAGAUGAAAAAAAUAAAUGUGGCUGAUGUAGCAGCUCUAAGACCUACUCAAGUGGUUUAUCAUGAGAAGAAAUAAAAAAGGCCCUGGCUGACUCUCAGUAUCCCAUGGUGCCUCUGCAGCACAUCCAAAAACUGCAUUGAAGUAAAGUUAUUCUCUAAAUUAAGAGACUACUAUCUGGUCCAUUAGGCCAUGGUUGAAAACCACGAAUUGUGAGGCUCCCUAGGGUCCUCUGGAGAUGUUACAGGGGAUGGAAGUGAAGCUAGUGAUAGUUGUGGAGGAGCUGAUGACUGGAUCCUCUCAUCCUCACUUCAACACAAGGACCACAGAUUUAAUACUUCAUAUUUUGGGGUUCAACAUAAAAUGCUUCGAAAAAGUCUCUACUGCUAAAAGGAAAUCCAAAAAUUGGCACAAUAUAAAUAAUUGUUUUUGAAUAUUCAUACUGAAUAAAGAUUCAAAUAACUUGAGACUUUUAUUUGCUAGACAGAGAAUCCAGUCUAACAUCUAUAGACUUUCCUGUGGGUUCAAGAAAUAAUCGGUUCCUUUAUUUCUUGAGGUCAGCAAUAAAUGCACGUUAUGUUUAAGGAAUUAUGUUUCUCACAUAUUAAUAUGGAAUGAAGUCUGAUAAGGAUUAAUUUUCAUCAACAUGUAAUUUUUCUGAGAACCACUUAACAUUUUUAGUUUAUAAUGAAAAUUAAUCUCAUUAAAAUAAGUAUGUACAUAUGCCUGGUCCAACAUAAUAAAUGCAGACUGAAAAAACAGAAACUAAAUUGAAAUUCUACAGAUCUAAUGAUGCUUUCCUUCUUUCUCGGUACAGCUUUGAUAUCUACUUGCAGAGAAAACCAAAAUCAGAACAAAUGUAACAUUAUAAAAAAACAUCAAAUCUUAAAAUCACAUAUUUAGUAAGAAAUAAAACAGAAUGUUUCUAACAAAAUAUCAGAAAUGCUAAUAAAAUAAAAUAUUGUUUUGAACCAACCAAAAACUUUCACACAGACAUGGGAAAGGAGAACGGCUUAAAUCAAUGAAGACAUAACCAAGACUCUUGAUUUCUUAAUUACACAAUCUAUCUUCCAGUAAGUACAUCUGCAAUUUCAUCCCUGUUCUAAAACUCAAUUCAUUCAAUAAAUUCAUACAGAUGCAGGAAAUGUAACCAAUAUUUGUGGAAUCAAGGAAUUGGUAAACAAACCCUAGUUAACUGGGAGCUUCUGCAAGCAGGCUUUCUUCGCUUUUGCUCUGAUCUGCUCAACAGAACAGAGAUUUUUUUUCAUAGGCACAGUUGCAAAAAAAAAAGAAUCAAGGAUCAGAAAAUUGUAACAAUAAAAAUAAAAUGGAGUCCAUGAUAAAUCAGGAAAAAAAUCUGAGUACAAUACUAAAAAGUUCUGCUAUGCUUAAGCACAAGAGACAAAUAUAAGCUGGUGAUGGAAGAGUUAGGUGGAGUCAGGUGGAGUCAAAGCUGUUUGGACCACAGAUGAUCUGGAUGAAGGUCCCUUUUGCCAGCUUUAACCUGCUCAGCAUUUUUAUCAACAUAUGAAUGAAGACCCGGAAGGAAUGCUUAUUAAACCUCUAGAUAAGGCUGAAAGGAUCCUAGGAGAACUACAAUUCAAGAAGAUAAACUAUACUCAUGGCCAAAACACUUUGAUAUUUAAUAUGGACAAACAAAAAGUCUUCAACCAGGUUUGAAAAAUCAAUAUACAAAAACAGAAAGGAAGAGACUAGGGUCAUUACAAAUUUGUAUAAAAAAGAUUUGGGUGUUUUAGCUGAGUAAAAGCCCAAUAUGAAUCAAGAGCUAAAAAAGUCCUUAUCAAAGGGACUCUUCCACCCUACAGCCUAUACUGCUAAGACCAAAUUGCAAGUAUAUACUUAACUACUGCCAUAUCUCAAAAUAGACUCAAGGUGGAUGUAAGGAUAUGUGAAAUAUGAUAAGAGAAUAUAAAUUUAAAAGUGUGAAAAGAAAAAUAACAGUAGGAAUAUAGACUGAAUCAUAGCUGAAAAAUGUAUAGUAUAAAGACAUUUUAUGUGAAUAUUAUAAAGGCAUAGUAAGUCAAGUUAUAUAGGGUUCCUAAGGUAAAAAGACAUCAAUAGUCUUUGAGUAAAAACAACUAUUCUUGGAACUAAGCCCAGACAGGAAUUUUCUCAAGAGGAUCCAUAAAGAGAGCAUUGAAUAAUAUAUAGCACAGUUCCUUACAUAAUAUCCUUAUAGUACAUACCACAAAACAUUUCAUAAGGCUGUUUCUUAUUUCAAGUCCCAACACAGAUCAACAGCAUCACAUCAACAUAAAAUUUAAUAAAAUAAAACUCUAAAGGGCACCAAUACAUUACAGCCCAGAAUCCCUACAGAUCAGGGGUAGUCAUAAACACAGAGGAGUCAUACAAUAUAUGGUUCUUUGUUACUCAUUUCUUUCACUAAACAUAAUAUUUUGGAGGUUCAUCCACUUUGCAGCAUGUAUCAGUAUUUUAUUCCUUUCAUGGCCAAAUAACAUUCCACUGUAUAGACAUAUCAUUUUGUUUAUCCAUUCAUCAGUUGAUAAACAUCUGGACUGUUUCCAUAUGUUGACUAUGAUGAACAGUGCUAUCAUGAGCAUCCAUUUACAAGUUUUGUAUGGAUAUAUAGUUUUACCUCCUUUGGGUAUAUGCCUAGGAAUGGAAUUGCUGGGUCAUAUGGUAAUUCUAUGUUUAACCUUUUAAGGAACUGCUAGACUGUUUUCUGAAGUGGGUAUACUAUAUUACUCUAUUGUGAUUUUAAUUUACAUUUCCCUAUAAAGGCAUUAUGCAUUUUCAUGUGUUUAUUGACCAUUUAUAUGUUUCCUAUUAUGAAAUAUCUGCUUAAGUCUUUUGCUCAUUGUUUGAGUUGUUCAUCUUUUUUUGUUGACUUAUUGGACUAAAUUUGUGAUUUAUUUAUUCAUUUUCUUAAUGGUAUCUUUUGAUGAACAGAAACAUUUAACUUUGAUAUAGGUCAAUUUAUCAAUUUUUUUCUUUUAUGGUUAGUAUUUUUGUUUUUCUAUUCAAAAAUAUCUUUGCCUAACCCCAAAGUUAUGGAAAUACUCUCUUACAGUUUCUGCUGGAUGCUUUAUGUUUCUGAGUUUUAUAUUUAAGUCCAUGAUCCAUGUUGAAUUAGUUUUUGUGUAAAGGGCAGAUAGGGGUUGAGGUUCAUUUCUUUUUUCUAUACACAUUCAUGGGUUCUAGCAACAUUUGUAAAAGACUUUUACCCAUUGAAUUAACUUAACAUCAUGGUAGAAAAUCAACUGCCUGUAUCUAUGGGUCUAUUUCUGGACUCUAUUCUGUUCUAUAGAUGUAGCAGUCUAUCUUUACGCCAACAACUAUACUGUCAUGAUUACUGUAACUUUUAAGUCUUUUUUUUAUUUCCCAAGCAGUUACUUUUAAAUAGCAUUUUAAAAU